GCGUCCUUAGUUCAGUUGGUAGAACGCAGGUCUCCAAAACCUGGUGUCGAGGGUUCAAAUCCUUCAGGGCGUG
rnacentral:tRNA from 1 species